UGCAAUCCUGUGAACACAAUGGGAAGGAGAAAUUGAAAAGGACGAAGUUGGGUCUUUGGCAGAAAGAGAACAAGCAGCAAAGAAGGCCAUCAUCCUUUGUUUAAUGGAUCAAUAAUCCUCACCUGACUUAUGAUUAAGAUAGCAUUAUUAUUUCAUAUUUUAAAAAUCCAUCCCUUUACCUUGCUUUAACUUCUAUUUUUUCCUAGUGAUAAUCACCUUCUAAUAUACUACAUAAUUUACUUAUCUAUUACGUGUAUUCUAUCUUGUAUCGUGUGCUCUGCUAGAAUGUCAACUCACAAUGGUAGAGAUCUUUUUCUCUGCAGGCCUAGACUAAUGCCUGGCACAUAGUAGGUAUUAAAUACACGUUUGUUGAAGGAAUCAGUGAAGGAAAUAUGUAGUUCUUAAGUAAUGGUCUUGAAACCUGACUGAUAAUUAGAAGCAUGAUUCCCGAUACCCAUUCCUGGAGAGUCUGAUUUGGUACAUUUCAAACUAUUGGCUAAGAGUACCUUUCUUACAAAUGCUUGGUGUAUCUAAUGAAUCUACAUUGUCUUCAGAUAACUUUUAUUGGAAGGUCAGGUUUUGAAGACACUAAAUGCUAUUGCAUAGGGAGCAUAUUCAGAGAAUUAUGUACUGCAUCUUUAGCUGUUGUCUGCAAGGACCCCACUUUAACCCGCGUAUUAGAGGAUCCUGAGGAAGCCUGGGAAGGCGAGUAGUCUGAAUAAGGAAAUGGAGGC